UACGUAGGGGGCAAGCGUUAUCCGGAUUCACUGGGUUUAAAGGGUGCGUAGGUGGGUCUGUAAGUCAGUGGUGAAAUCCCCGAGCUUAACUUGGGAACUGCCGUUGAUACUAUAGAUCUUGAAUAUCGUGGAGGCAGGCGGAAUUCCGGGUGUAGCGGUGGAAUGCGUAGAGAUCCGGAAGAACACCGGUGGCGAAGGCGGAUCUCUGGGCCUUACCUGACGCUCAGGUGCGAAAGCUAGGGGAGCGAACAGG
rnacentral:rRNA from 1 species